CAGAGUAGGUCAGUGCGCGUCAAGUGCCGUCGGAACGGGGAGUUGUCCGACGGACGAAGGCACGGCGAUCGCCGCUGCCGCGGUGCACUGGCUGCAUCCCGCUGU
rnacentral:ncRNA from 1 species